UUCAUCAGAAAAUCAUUUUGUCAUCCAGGCAAAGCCAAACAAGAAAAAGUCAGAAUGGAUCCACCCCGAGGAGGAACCACUAAUAUCCCUACAUGCUUUGCGCGCUUAGAUUUCACAAGAUGGCUGCGUUUAGAGAGCUUUAAACGGUGGCUGAUCUCGAUUCUUUGAAGCAACAUAACCGUGACGGUUAGAAGACAUUAACAAACUCUCCAGCAAAGCACCAGAAGUGGACAAACGAGGAAGAGAGACGAUGAUGGAGACGAUGAUGGAGACGAUGAUGGAGACGAUGAUGGAGACGAUGAUGGAGACGAAGAUGAGACGAUGAUGGAGACGAUCCACAGGGCCAUCCCCUCAGACUUCGUAGAUUAGUCCUCAACCACAGAGAGGAUUCCUCUAUUUUUGUCCCUGAUAGAUCAUUCCUUCCAGUCAGAAACCAGACUACCAUUCCACAGAGGAUCUUCAGACUAAGUGCUAUGCUGAUCCAACUAGAUAAUCAGAAUUUGAGCAAGACAAGUAGCAAAAAAUCUAGUUACUCAACAAAACAAACGUAAAAUAGCAAAAAAAAGGUUUACAGAAUCCUAAACGAUCCCAGGAUUCCCAAAAGUUCCCCAACUGAUCCCGGGACCUGAAACGAUACCGAGGAGUCCCGGAAAUAACCCGUAGAAAUCAGAGUCCUGGAUCAUUACGGGUCCUGCACUGACUGACAGCGGGCUUCUGAAGACGUUCAACUUUUAUCUGGAUGAAGGAGGGGUGACGGACUCCUGUCUGUGAUCAUAUCUCAUACCACUCGAGGGAAAUCGAACAUAAAAAUCAUUUAAGAGAGCAUUAGAUAUCUUUCACUUUC